GCAGUGUCACAGCUAGCAAUCAAAAGUAACAAGAUAUUGAGGAAAUGCAGAUGACAAUAAACUGUGUAGGAGUUCAUGAUUGCAAUAGAAUAAAAUCGACCAAGCCUGAAGUCAGCAGCCCCUUCAAUGAAUGCAGCAGUGUGACAGCCAGCAAUCAAAAGUUACAAGAUAUCGAGGAAAUGCAGAUGGCAAUAAACUGUGUAGGAGUUUAUGAUUGCAAUAGAAUAAAAUCGACCAAGCCUGAAGUCAGCAGCCCCUUCAAUGAAUGCAGCAGUGUGACAGCCAGCAAUCAAAAGUAACAAGAUAUCGAGGAAAUGCAGAAGGCAAAAAACUGCGUAGGAGAUUAUUAAUACAAUAGUAUUAUAUCAACCAAGCCUGAUGUCGGUAGCUUCUUCAAUGAAUGCAGCAGUGUGACAGCCAGCAAUCAAUAGUGAUAGUGACAAGAAUCUAGGAAAUACAGAAGGCAAAGAAGCAGAUGUCAUCAAAGAAGAUCUUUGUUCCUGCAAUGUUUCCGCAGACGAUACAUCCAACAGAGCGAAGUGGAAGGAAAAGACUCGGAAAAAAGAGCCCACCACCAUAUGGGAACAAUGCAA